rnacentral:rRNA from 1 species
UACGGGAGGCAGCAGUGGGGAAUUUUGGACAAUGGGGGCAACCCUGAUCCAGCCAUUCCGCGUGAGUGAAGAAGGCCUUCGGGUUGUAAAGCUCUUUCAGCGGGAACGAAACGGUAGUCUCUAACAUAGGCUGCUAAUGACGGUACCCGCAGAAGAAGCACCGGCUAACUACGUGCCAGCAGCCGCGGUAAUACGUAGGGUGCGAGCGUUAAUCGGAAUUACUGGGCGUAAAGCGUGCGCAGGCGGACUGUUAAGCAAGAUGUGAAAUCCCCGGGCUUAACCUGGGGAUGGCAUUUUGAACUGGCAGUCUAGAGUGUGUCAGAGGGGGGUGGAAUUCCACGUGUAGCAGUGAAAUGCGUAGAUAUGUGGAGGAACACCAAUGGCGAAGGCAGCCCCCUGGGAUAACACUGACGCUCAUGUACGAAAGCGUGGGUAGCAAACAGGAUUAGAUACCCUGGUAGUCCACGCCCUAAACGAUGUCAACUGGUUGUUGGGGGAGUGAAAUCCCUUAGUAACGAAGCUAACGCGUGAAGUUGACCGCCUGGGGAGUACGGUCGCAAGAUUAAAACUUAAAUGAAUUGACGGGGGCAAGGGCGAAUUCUGCAGAUAUCCAUCACACUGGCGGCCGCUCGAGCA